rnacentral:rRNA from 1 species
CACGUAGGGCGCAAGCGUUUGUCCGGAAUUAUUGGGCGUAAAGAGCUCGUAGGCGGUCUGUUGCGUCCGCUGUGAAAACUCGGGGCUUAACCCCGAGCCUGCAGUGGAUACGGGCAGACUAGAGGUAGGUAGGGGAGAAUGGAAUUCCCGGUGUAGCGGUGAAAUGCGCAGAUAUCGGGAGGAACACCAAUGGCGAAGGCAGAUCUCUGGGCCGUAACUGGCGCUGAGGAGCGAAAGCAUGGGGAGCGAACAGG